UAGGCCGGAACCGGAAGUGCCGGCGGGCAGGAGGGGCGGAGCCUGCCGGCGGCGGGGCCGGAAGCGCGGGAGAGUCCCCCGGUUAGUUACUACCGGUAGCGCCGCGUCCGGCUCUCAGCUUCGGGAACCUCAUUCUUGCCAUCCGAGCAGCGGGCACUACGUCCCCACUCGGGCCUAGCGUCGUGGACGCCAUAACUGUGCUCGGCUUCCUUUCCGAACCCGAGGAGACCCUGGCCCUGCAAGGGGCCUGCGCGGACUCGGCCGCAGAAGCGGGGUGGAGCCAUCACUGCCCAGACUGAGGCGGCUCGGGCACCCCCGCAAGUGUAAUGGUCACCUGACCUGGCAGGUGGGGGCGAGGAGAGAAAGAGGACCCUGAGGUCACCAUCCUGACUUAAAGGGCGAGGUCCUGGAGGCUAAGAAGUCAUUUCCGGCUGGAGAGGCAUAUCCUGGUGGGAAGCUGAGUCACCUAAGUGUGAGAUGGGAAGAGACGGGACCGGGUGCCGAAGGUCACACAGAGAGAGAGAAAGAGGCAGAGACACAGGCAGAGGGAGAAGCAGGCUCCAUGCAGGGAGCCCGACGUGGGACUCAAUCCCGGGUCUCCAGGAUCACACCCUGGGCUGAAGGCAGGCGCCAAACCGCUGCGCCACCCAGGGAUCCCGAAUUGUACUCUUUUUAAUAAAGGCCAAGGCUUAAUGAAGUA